rnacentral:rRNA from 1 species
GGGUUGUGAGGUUAAGCGACUAAGCGUACACGGUGGAUGCCCUGGCAGUCAGAGGCGAUGAAGGACGUGCUAAUCUGCGAUAAGCGCCGGUAAGGUGAUAUGAACCGUUAUAACCGGCGAUUUCCGAAUGGGGAAACCCAGUGUGAUUCGUCACACUAUCAUUAACUGAAUCCAUAGGUUAAUGAGGCGAACCGGGGGAACUGAAACAUCUAAGUACCCCGAGGAAAAGAAAUCAACCGAGAUUCCCCCAGUAGCGGCGAGCGAACGGGGAGGAGCCCAGAGCCUGAAUCAGCAUGUGUGUUAGUGGAAGCGUCUGGAAAGGUGCGCGAUACAGGGUGACAGCCCCGUACACAAAAGCGCAUGUGCUGUGAGCUCGAUGAGUAGGGCGGGACACGUGGUAUCCUGUCUGAAUAUGGGGGGACCAUCCUCCAAGGCUAAAUACUCCUGACUGACCGAUAGUGAACCAGUACCGUGAGGGAAAGGCGAAAAGAACCCCGGCGAGGGGAGUGAAAAAGAACCUGAAACCGUGUACGUACAAGCAGUGGGAGCACAGGUUUACCUGUGUGACUGCGUACCUUUUGUAUAAUGGGUCAGCGACUUAUAUUCUGUAGCAAGGUUAACCGUAUAGGGGAGCCGUAGGGAAACCGAGUCUUAACCGGGCGUUAAGUUGCAGGGUAUAGACCCGAAACCCGGUGAUCUAGCCAUGGGCAGGUUGAAGGUUGGGUAACACUAACUGGAGGACCGAACCGACUAAUGUUGAAAAAUUAGCGGAUGACCUGUGGCUGGGGGUGAAAGGCCAAUCAAACCGGGAGAUAGCUGGUUCUCCCCGAAAGCUAUUUAGGUAGCGCCUCGUGAAUUCAUCUCCGGGGGUAGAGCACUGUUUCGGCUAGGGGGCCAUCCCGGCUUACCAACCCGAUGCAAACUGCGAAUACCGGAGAAUGUUAUCACGGGAGACACACGGCGGGUGCUAACGUCCGUCGUGAAGAGGGAAACAACCCAGACCGCCAGCUAAGGUCCCAAAGUCAUGGUUAAGUGGGAAACGAUGUGGGAAGGCCCAGACAGCCAGGAUGUUGGCUUAGAAGCAGCCAUCAUUUAAAGAAAGCGUAAUAGCUCACUGGUCGAGUCGGCCUGCGCGGAAGAUGUAACGGGGCUAAACCAUGCACCGAAGCUGCGGCAGCGAACGUAUCACUUAAAGCGAUUCAGCGGGUUACGAUUGACGGAGCGAAGCGACGUCAAAGCGUAUACAAAGUCGAGUCGGUUUAAGGAUACGUUCGUUGGGUAGGGGAGCGUUCUGUAAGCCCGUGAAGGUGGCCUGUGAGGGUUGCUGGAGGUAUCAGAAGUGCGAAUGCUGACAUAAGUAACGAUAAAGCGGGUGAAAAGCCCGCUCGCCGGAAGACCAAGGGUUCCUGUCCAACGUUAAUCGGGGCAGGGUGAGUCGACCCCUAAGGCGAGGCCGAAAGGCGUAGUCGAUGGGAAACGGGUUAAUAUUCCCGUACUUGGUGUUACUGCGAAGGGGGGACGGAGAAGGCUAUGUUGGCCGGGCGACGGUUGUCCCGGUUUAAGCGUGUAGGUGUGUGUUCCAGGUAAAUCCGGUUCACUUUAACACUGAGGCGUGACGACGAGGCACUACGGUGCUGAAGCAACAAAUGCCCUGCUUCCAGGAAAAGCCUCUAAGCAUCAGGUAACACGAAAUCGUACCCCAAACCGACACAGGUGGUCAGGUAGAGAAUACCAAGGCGCUUGAGAGAACUCGGGUGAAGGAACUAGGCAAAAUGGUGCCGUAACUUCGGGAGAAGGCACGCUGACACGUAGGUGAAGUGAUUUACUCAUGGAGCUGAAGUCAGUCGAAGAUACCAGCUGGCUGCAACUGUUUAUUAAAAACACAGCACUGUGCAAACACGAAAGUGGACGUAUACGGUGUGACGCCUGCCCGGUGCCGGAAGGUUAAUUGAUGGGGUCAGCGCAAGCGAAGCUCCUGAUCGAAGCCCCGGUAAACGGCGGCCGUAACUAUAACGGUCCUAAGGUAGCGAAAUUCCUUGUCGGGUAAGUUCCGACCUGCACGAAUGGCGUAAUGAUGGCCAGGCUGUCUCCACCCGAGACUCAGUGAAAUUGAACUCGCUGUGAAGAUGCAGUGUACCCGCGGCAAGACGGAAAGACCCCGUGAACCUUUACUAUAGCUUGACACUGAACAUUGAGCCUUGAUGUGUAGGAUAGGUGGGAGGCUUUGAAGUGUGGACGCCAGUCUGCAUGGAGCCGACCUUGAAAUACCACCCUUUAAUGUUUGAUGUUCUAACGUGGACCCGUAAUCCGGGUUGCGGACAGUGUCUGGUGGGUAGUUUGACUGGGGCGGUCUCCUCCUAAAGAGUAACGGAGGAGCACGAAGGUUGGCUAAUCCUGGUCGGACAUCAGGAGGUUAGUGCAAUGGCAUAAGCCAGCUUGACUGCGAGCGUGACGGCGCGAGCAGGUGCGAAAGCAGGUCAUAGUGAUCCGGUGGUUCUGAAUGGAAGGGCCAUCGCUCAACGGAUAAAAGGUACUCCGGGGAUAACAGGCUGAUACCGCCCAAGAGUUCAUAUCGACGGCGGUGUUUGGCACCUCGAUGUCGGCUCAUCACAUCCUGGGGCUGAAGUAGGUCCCAAGGGUAUGGCUGUUCGCCAUUUAAAGUGGUACGCGAGCUGGGUUUAGAACGUCGUGAGACAGUUCGGUCCCUAUCUGCCGUGGGCGCUGGAGAACUGAGGGGGGCUGCUCCUAGUACGAGAGGACCGGAGUGGACGCAUCACUGGUGUUCGGGUUGUCAUGCCAAUGGCACUGCCCGGUAGCUAAAUGCGGAAGAGAUAAGUGCUGAAAGCAUCUAAGCACGAAACUUGCCCCGAGAUGAGUUCUCCCUGAGACUUAGAGUCUCCUGAAGGAACGUUGAAGACGACGACGUUGAUAGGCCGGGUGUGUAAGCGCAGCGAUGCGUUGAGCUAACCGGUACUAAUGAACCGUGAGGCUUAACCUUACAACGCCGAAG